AUGAUUGGAGGUUUAUUCAUCUAUAAUCACAAGGGGGGGUGCUCAUCUCCCCGGUCUACAGGGAUGACUUCGGGAGGAAUGCAGUGGAUGCCUUUUGGGUCAAUGUCUUCCAUGCGCGGCAGCAGGUGCGCAGCCCUGUCACAAACAUCGCUCACACCAGCUUCUUCCAUGUUAAGCUGUCCGCAGCAGUCAACAAGCAGAAUGUCAAUGCUGCCAUGGUCUUGGAAUUCCUCUAUAAGCUGUGCGAUGUAACGGCUGCUUAUUUUGGCAAGUUCAGUGAGGAAAACAUCAAGAACAAUGUUGUGCUCAUAUACGAGCUGCUGGAUGAGAUUCUGGACUUUGGCUACCCACAGAACUCGGAGACAGGCGCACUGAACACCUUCAUCACUCAGCAGGGCAUCAAGAGCCAGCAUCAGACAAAAGAAGAACAAUCCCAGAUCCCCAACCAAGUGAUUGGGCAGACUGGCUGGCGGCGGGAAGGCAUCAAGCAUCGCCGAAAUGAAGCCUUCCUAGAUGUUCUGCAGAGCAUAAACCUGCUUAUGUCCCCACAGGUGCAGGUGCUAGGUGCCCAUAUGUCAGGCCGGGUGGUGAUGAAGAGUUACCGAGUGCAAGUUUGCAAUGAAUGACAAGGUUGUCACUGAAAAGCCGGGCAAAGGCACAGCUGAUGAAACAGGCAAGAGCGGUAAACAGUCAAUUGCCAUUGAUGACUGCACCAUCCGCCAGUGUGUGCGACUCAGCAGGUUUGACUCUGAACUUCAUCCCACUUCAGCAUCAGCAUCAGCUUCAUCCCACCUGAUGGAGAGUUUGAACUCAGGAGAUACCGUCCUACCAAGGACAUCAUCCUUCCUUUCCGGGUGAUCCCAUUGGUGCGGGAAGUGGGACGCACCAAACUGGAGAGCAAGGUAGUCUUCAAGUCCAACUUCAUGCCCUCACUUCUGGCCCAGAAGAUUGAGGCGAGGAUCCCAACCCCACUGAACACAAGCGGGGUGCAGGUGAUCUGCAAAAGUACAAGGCCAGCGAGAACGCCAUUGCGUGGAAGAUCAAGCUCAGGGCAGGCAUGAAGGAAUCACAGAUCAGCCCGGAGAUUGAGCUUCUGCCCACCAAUGAUAAGAAGAAAUGGGCUUGACCCUUCCAUCUCCAUGAACUUUGAGGUGUCAUUCACGCCUUCUGGCCUCAAGGUGAGCUACUUGAAGGUAUUCAAACCGAAGCUGAACUACAGUGAUCAUGAUGUCAUCAAAUGGGUGCGAUACAUUGGCCGAAGUGGCAGGUGGCUAGCUGCCUAGUGGCAGGUGGCCCACUUCCCCACCACCCUUUCCACAGGUCCAAGUAUCCCCAGUGACCACUAGUCAGUGUCUUUCCUUCCUCUUGCUUUGCUGCCUUUCCUUUAUAGCAGCCCCUGAG